UCGGACGGCAUAUUUAUCGUCACACUGGAAACGUCAGAAACGAGGCAUAGCAAACGAGGCAAACGGCGACGGCGACAGCAACUGAGAAAAGCAUAAACGGAGAAGAGAGUUGGAGAGUUUCGGGCAGCCCAGGGCGUGUGAUAGCAACUGCAAUAAGUGCUAAAUAGAUUAAUCCCGAGACACAGUGACAUCGCAAGCAGCAAAAUGAGCGGCGGAGGCAUGGACAAGAGAAAACUCUCCACAUCGGGGGACUCGCUGUACGAGAUCCUGGGACUUCCGAAGACUGCCACCGGAGACGAUAUCAAGAAGACUUACCGGAAGCUGGCACUCAAAUACCAUCCGGACAAGAACCCCGACAACGUCGAUGCUUCCGAUAAGUUCAAGGAGGUGAACCGGGCGCACUCGAUUCUGAGCGACCAGACCAAACGCAAUAUCUACGACAACUAUGGCUCCCUGGGACUGUAUAUAGCCGAGCAGUUCGGCGAGGAGAAUGUGAAUGCAUACUUUGUGGUCACAUCGCCGGCGGUGAAGGCCUUGUUUAUCUGCUGUGCAGUGGUCACCGGCUGCUGCUGCUGUUGCUGCUGCUGCUGCUGUUGCAACUUCUGCUGCGGCAAGUUCAAGCCGCCGGUCAACGAAUCGCACGACCAGUAUGCACAUCUGAACCGCCCCGAUGGCAAUCGAGAGGCUAGUGAUCUGCCACCGCACCUGGGACAGCAGCCACGUCUUGAGGACGUUGAUCUGGACGACGUGAAUCUUGGUGCGGGCGGAGGCCCCGUCACCUCGCAGCCACGCGAGCAGUCCGGAGGACAGCCCGUCUUCGCCAUGCCACCGCCCAGUGGAGCAGCUGUGGGCGUGAAUCCAUUCACCGGCGCCCCCGUGGCGGCCAACGAGAACACGUCGCUGAACACCACAGAGCAGACAACAUACACGCCAGGUAUAUAAAGAGUCGAGCCAGCCAGCCAGCAGUCGGGGUCGAAGGUGGCAAGUGGCAUAGAAACGUAUCCCUAAAGCGUCUUUGACCAUCGAACUUGUUAAAUGUCUGCGGCACCUACGGUCUCACAGUCACCGCUCCUAAACGCCCCCUCAAGCAUUUGCAAGUUUUCGUUUUGUUAACAUUUUAUAUUGAAUUACCACCAACCGUCUUGGCACCUAAUAAAUUUUCAAAGAUGAAAGACACUGCCAUGAUCUGCUGAAAAGUAUA
rnacentral:misc_RNA from 1 species